rnacentral:rRNA from 1 species
GCCAGCCCGCUCAGAACUCACAGGAAUUGACGGGGCCCGCACAAGCGGUGGAGUAUGUGGUUUAAUUCGAUGCAACGCGAAGAACCUUACCUGGUCUUGACAUCCCGGAGACCCUUAGGAAACUAGGGGGUGCUUCCAUCUGGAAGAAUCUGGAGACAGGUGCUGCAUGGCUGUCGUCAGCUCGUGUCGUGAGAUGUUGGGUUAAGUCCCGCAACGAGCGCAACCCUUGCCUUUAGUUGCCAGCAGUUCGGCUGGGCACUCUAAAGGGACUGCCGGUGUUAAACCGGAGGAAGGUGGGGAUGACGUCAAGUCCUCAUGGCCUUUAUGACCAGGGCUACACACGUACUACAAUGGCCGAUACAAAGGGCAGCGACACUGCGAGGUGAAGCCAAUCCCGUAAAAUCGGUCUCAGUCCGGAUUGGAGUCUGCAACUCGACUCCAUGAAGUUGGAAUCGCUAGUAAUCGUGGAUCAGCAUGCCACGGUGAAUACGUUCCCGGGCCUU